rnacentral:lncRNA from 1 species
CAAAGGUGGGACGGAAGCGCGUCAUCGGCGGACAGAAGGCAGAACGGAAGCGCGUCAUCGUCGAGGCUCUCAUUGCUCCCAGGACCUCCGCAAGCAAGUUUCCAACAAGCCCUGCCCACGUGUGGUUUCCCGUGUGACUGACCACGGACCGAGGAGAGCUGGGUCCAUGCUGGGCACGAGGGACCAUGGGGCAUGCUUUUGGCUGGUGCUGCCAACAGGCCUCCUUCCAGGGCAGAGUCACUGUCUGUGUUAAAUGUUUGCCCGGAAGCCAGCCACGUUUCCAACACCGGGCACAGUGACUCUGAGAUCAACACUAAAAAAUAUCAUUUCCAAAAGAAUUCAAAUUCCCCCAGGAGAGAAGCUACAGAAAUCAUAACCACUGUGUGGCCGUGCGGCUCAGAGCAUGUGACAGCUGGUGAUGAGUGUCAUCUGCAUUGCCACCCGGCGCAGCGCAUCACAAAACGUUUUGCAGCAAGAACAAGACAGAGAAGCAGUAACUCUGCCAAGAAGGCAAGACCUUUCCAGCCAGCAGGGACGAGGGCAACAGGACAACCAAAAGAGGCAAAGCUUGGCCCUGCCAACUGCCUUUCCAACUGGACAAACCCUGUUCAAACUGGCCCAAAGGACACCCCUGCUGGAGUCCCAGGGACCCAAGCACAGACGCACAAGCCCCUCAGCCGCCUCUGGGACUCCACCAAGAAUUGCUGUCCUGCAAUUAAUCCCAUUAAACCAAUGUGGGGUCGCACAAACACAGAAGCAUAACUUCAGAGUACGAGAGCACCAGUCAACGCUGUGGGUCUUUGAUUUUGUUGUUGUUGUGUUGCUUAUUCUUACAGGCAGACUAGAUUAAUUUCACUGCAGUUGAAAAUCAUGCAAAUAUAGUUUAGAAGGAGGCAUUUAAUUCUUUAUAGCUCUUGCACACAACACAAAUAGCACCUCCAGUACUAACACUGCUAAGUGUUUUUAGUGUUAUUCCACUAUACAGUACAUCACAAUGUUAAUUUUCCACAUUACUUUAUUCCUUCUCCAGACCAUAUUUUACAACAGAGAAA